GACGAACGCUGGCGGCGUGCUUAACACAUGCAAGUCGAACGAUGAAGCCUAGCUUGCUAGGUGGAUUAGUGGCGAACGGGUGAGUAAUACGUGAGUGACCUACCUUUGACUCUGGGAUAAGCCUGGGAAACUGGGUCUAAUACCGGAUACGACCAAUCUCCGCAUGGGGUGUUGGUGGAAAGCGUUAUGGAGUGGUUUUAGAUGGGCUCACGGCCUAUCAGCUUGUUGGUGAGGUAAUGGCUUACCAAGGCGACGACGGGUAGCCGGCCUGAGAGGGUGACCGGCCACACUGGGACUGAGACACGGCCCAGACUCCUACGGGAGGCAGCAGUGGGGAAUAUUGCACAAUGGGCGCAAGCCUGAUGCAGCGACGCCGCGUGAGGGAUGACGGCCUUCGGGUUGUAAACCUCUGUUAGCAUCGAAGAAGCGAAAGGACGGUAGGUGC
rnacentral:rRNA from 1 species